rnacentral:tRNA from 1 species
GUCCAGGGGCGGGAAUCGAACCCACAACCUUCUGCUUACCAGGCAGGUGCCAUGUCCACUAGGCUACCCUGGA